GACGAACGCUGGCGGCGUGCUUAACACAUGCCAGUCGAACGGAAAGGCCCUGCUGUUGUGGGGUGCUCGAGUGGCGAACGGGUGAGUAACACGUGAGUAACCUGGCCUUGACUUUGGGAUAACUUCAGGAAACUGGGGCUAAUACCGGAUAGGUGCUCCUGCUGCAUGGUGGGGGUUGGAAAGUUUCGGCGGUUGGGGAUGGACUCGCGGCUUAUCAGCUUGUUGGUGGGGUAGUGGCUUACCAAGGCUUUGACGGGUAGCCGGCCUGAGAGGGUGACCGGCCACAUUGGGACGGAGAUACGGCCCAGACCCGUACGGGAGGCAGCAGUGGGGAAUAGUGCACAAUGGGCGGAAGCAUGAUGCAGCAACGCCGCGUGCGGGAAGACGGCCUUCGGGUGGUAAACCGCUUUCGCCUGUGACGAAGCGUGAGUGACGGGAAUGGGGAAAGAAGCACCGGCUAACUACGU
rnacentral:rRNA from 1 species